UUCUUAAAAUGAUUCACACCUCAACUGCAUAGGCCACCAAUUUAAAUUUAAAUGUCUGAAAUUUUGCCUUAAGGCAAUCUUACAUAUAAUCAGAGAUAUGGGGGUGCAAUCAACUUUUGCCUCACAUUCAUGCACCUCAAAUAAUGUCGAUUUUUAAAAUGUGUGACUAUUUCUUCUUUAUCUUCCAUCCCCAACAGCAGCUAAUCAAGAGACACAAUUAUAUAUGGUGUUUAAUGGCAUCUCUAAUCGACUUCAGGGUGGGCAGACUGCACUGAGUGUCACAAUCAUCUUGCCCAAUCACUUGCCCAGCAGGAACUUGUUAGUCAGUUUCUUGUCUGUUUUGCCCAACCUCUUCUGAGGGAUUCUAUUUGAAUGCUACUUGGGCUGACCUGCAAUUCCCUCCGUACCUGUCUGUCUCUGUUCCACUUCCCCACCUACACCUGAAGUUUUGGGAAGGAAGUUCAACAACUAAUGAACAUGGAAAGUAAUGACGCUACUUCUCCAUGUGGCAUUUAGGGAGUGGGGUAGGUUGGAGGGAGGACAAUUCUCUCAACCUUUUCUUCACAUUGGACAAUUGCCAGGGAAAAGAUCCCACACCUUGCCAAUUCUGAGUAGAGGUUAGUUCUGUACUCUUAAUGGAGGGCAGCUAGAGAGGGAUAUCUGUUGCCACUGCUGCACCCUCUCCAAAUGUUCCUUCUCUAAACUGCUUCUUUUUUCUUCAUCCUCUUCCCAGACCAUUCCACAUCAGUGCCAUGAUGAUAGAUGGAUCUACUUUCAACUUUAAGGACUCCAUCACAUCAUCUUUUUUGGGAGGAAUGUGAAAGAGGGCUGGAGAACAGCAGCCUUUUGGUGCCUAGUUGAAGCAGCAUGUCUGCAACAAACAAUACAAUAAGACUUGAAUUGGGAAAGAAUGGCAUUUGAUCCUGCUGGAGCUGUAUGUAUCUACCUUCACCAGGCAAAGUAAACAGCACCCAACUUCAAAAACCCUUCCUGAACAAGCAUGAACAGGAAAACAAAGAAAAAAAAAGAUGGAUGAAAGUGUCUGACCAUCCUAAAUUGAAGUGGUGGUUUUCAAGGCCGAGUGGGGAGUUGAAUCCUGGUCCAGACCCAUUGGCUGGAUCUACAAUGCUAUAUAAUGAAGUUUGAAAGUACAUUACAUGGUCAGUGUAGACUCAUAUAAUGCAGUUCAAUGCAGUUAAACUGAGUAAUUUGCAGUAAGACUACCAUAUAAGCAAGAGAUAUAUUCCGAGACUUCAGAUGGUUAUGAAAAGUCAUGCAUAAUAGAGAACUGUCUUGAAAUGAAGGGUUCUGGCCCAAGAAUACCAAAUAGAAAUCUAGAAAUCACCCAGACUGGCAUAUUGUCAUAUAUAGAAAAAUGAAACCACAAUACUGGUUCCAUAAAUAUGGUGGUCAUACUUGAGUGUGUCAGAGAGGCUUGUGGUUGCCCUUGUUGGCACUGAAAAGAAGAAACAGGUAAACCACGUGUCAAUGUCCUUACCUUGAAAAACCUGUGAUGAGACAAAGUAUGGCUGCUCAUACUAAUGUCUGAUUUUGCUUAUAUAAAAGUGUCAAUUUAAAAAAAAUAGCUUUUAUAUAACGUAGUCUGAGUGACAUUAUUAAAACUACUAUUGUAACGGGUGUCAAAGAUCUUAAGUUUGUAAACCUGAUUAGCAUGACAGCUCUAUGGUUAGCAUCACUAUAUGAAUGCCAAUUUUUAAUGAUGUUAUAAGACACUCAAGGGCAUAUUUUAUUGCCUGUUAACAUAGUCUUUUUGUAGAUCAACACAUUUGGCUUUUGGCCUGAUACACCUAAGUGCAUUAAUGGACAAAUAAAACUUAUGUUGGUGUAUCUUAACGCUAUAGCAACUACAGAGGAAAUUAAAUACAGUGCGUAAUUUUUUUUUCAUGUCAGGAGCAACUGGAAUGCGUAAUAAGAGAAUAAUCUAAAUAUCUGUUUUAACAAACUGUCAUGUGGAAUUUGUUUUGUUUCUUACAGGAGUUCAUUUUCAUUUUUGUUUGUUUUAUGUAUGGUCAAAGUAUAAUGUCUAGGUUGUGGAUAUAAGGAUUAGGGAGUUGAUUCCUUGCAAGAAAAUGAAGCUGUUUUAUUCCACAGAAUGGCAUGUGGUGUUAAUCUUCCCUAUAAACAGGCAUUUUUCAUUUAUAGGGAAAAUAAAUGGAUAUUUUUAUAAAUACUCAAAACAGUUUGUCUAAAGCGAACAUAAAGUUUUAUAGAAUAACCACACGGAAAAGCAAGAACUUACAAAAAUAACCAAGCAAAUGAGUUUUUUAAUUUAUAUACAAAUGUUGUUUAAUACCGCCCUUAUUGUCUCUUGUUUAGAAAGUAUACAUUAUGCAAUGUCAUAAGCUGUUGUUGUUUUGGAACUUGUCCUCCAUUCCUUUCAGCUCUUCGGGGUGAAGACCAAAAGAUGAAUGUGGGCACACAAAGAUUAACCACUUUGUCCUAGUUCUGCAUUGCCUAAUGAAAUGUCUGGAUUAUUCCUAGAGAAAUUCCCAACACAUAUUUGUUUGGGGACUAGUUAGUUCCCAGUAAACACAUUGGCAUUUUUGUCAAGGUAAACAUAGACACCAAGGUCUCUCCUAGAGUGGUCUAAAUUUGGGUGAGUUCUCAUGAUAUCACUCCUUGGGUUAUGCUGGGUUUUUGCCAGGUCUCACCUCACUUUCUAACCACUUUCAUCACAUAAGUUAUAUUCGACUGAGCUCUAUACUUAAGAUCUGGUAAUCCACUA
ensembl:lncRNA